rnacentral:rRNA from 1 species
UACGAAGGGGACUAGCGUUGUUCGGAAUUACUGGGCGUAAAGCGCGCGUAGGCGGCUUUGUAAGUUAGAGGUGAAAGCCCGGGGCUCAACCCCGGAACUGCCUUUAAGACUGCAUCGCUUGAAUCCAGGAGAGGUGAGUGGAAUUCCGAGUGUAGAGGUGAAAUUCGUAGAUAUUCGGAAGAACACCAGUGGCGAAGGCGGCUCACUGGACUGGUAUUGACGCUGAUGUGCGAAAGCGUGGGGAGCAAACAGG